AACCAUCUAUAUAAAGUACAAACAGAUCAGACAAUGAUUCUGAGCUUCUAAGUCAAUAAAGUUGACUUUAUUGUCAAUCUAAGUCAGCCCAGUAAAUAACUACUUAAAUUUACACUGUAAUUUUCCAGAAGCAGCCCCAGAGUCCCUGAGGUAAAGAGAGAAGGCACCUCCCUUUUUUCUGAUGCAGCGGAACAUACAAAACAAGGUUCCACUCUUAAAUGCUGUGUAUCCAGAAACUGCACGAAUCCAGUAAUUUUUCUCCAGACAUCAGUGUGUGCUUUAUGGGGAGGAAGAUACAUUUCCCAGAGACCUGUGAACAGAAAGGCUGAUUUGAUAUGCUCAGAGGAGUCUCUGCUGGAUGGGGCUGGUGUGUAAAGCAAGAGAAAGAAAGAAGGAUGGUGUGUGCAAGAUCAUCACACCACCAGCUGGGGCAGUGCAUUGCUCUACCGCAAAGCCAGGAUUGAAGCACUCACCAUAAUGCCUUUAUACCCAGCCAUCUUUGGAUCCCUAACAGAACCUGGAUUUGUAGCUAAAGACGAUACAGUUCCAGUCUUCACGAUAAACCACAACUUAUGGAGAUGUGGGAGUUCCCAAGCCGUCCCCUGAGGGCUCAUCUGAUCUGCAGCACAUCUCCCAGAGAGCCUCUGUGCGGUGUGGAGGCAGAUGGGCGGCAGUGGAACGCAGCGGUGGGUUUAUGGCUCUCUGUGGGAAAGACUUGGCAGCCCCCCCCCAACACACACACAACACCAGCCACCAGCUACUCGCUGCCAGCAGGCAGCAUUAGAUCAGCCUCCUCCAGCACUGCAGCCAGCAUUAGAUCAGUAUCACACAGCAACCUGGCACUCGCAGCCUACAGCAGGACACAUCUGCCCAGCCAGACCACUUGCACAGGGAGGGAGAGUCUGGCAGCGUCGGACUGAUGCUGAAAUAUGAUUCUCUGGAUGGCAGGACUGCUGACUGAAUGUUCUAAAACUAGAACAAAGUUGUUUACACUGUACAUCAAUUUCUUAUUGAAAAACAAGAAUUUUUGGGUUGUUUUUCCAGUGUAAGGACCCUUAAAGCCCAAUUAUGAAAAUUUAUUUUAGUGGUUCACACAGUGAGCUGAUGCUCAAGGACCCCGACCAUGCGAGGCUGAGCCAGCAUGAUUUACAGACUUCAACACAACAACCACGACAACAACAACUGCAAAACAAGGGUGAAGGUGGCAGAAGUGCAUGUUUAUACUGGUUCAGUCUCUUGAGAGCAGGCGGUCUCUACUACCAGUGCCCAUGCAUAUUUGAAGAUUGGUUGGCUGCUAAUGUUCAAACCCGGUCCUGCUCCAUCAGGAUUAGAGAAGAUUAAAGGGAAAAAGAAAGUUGGAAGAAUGCAGAAAGUUGAUCAGUCACUUGGACGUCACAUGUACUACGAUGAGCUUCACUGAUGUUACAGAGUGCGAGAGAGAGAAAGAGGGAGAGAGACAGAGAUAAAAAGAGGAUGCGAGUGAGUGAGAGCAGAGUCAGAUUUCACUUCAUUAUGACUGCAGGAUUAGCCGAACAUCUUUGCUAUUCUAUCUGCAGGCGACGACUGUUUUAAUACUCUGCCCCGUGCGCUCGCUGUGUCUCGAUGUAAAUGUGACGAGCAUGUGGAUUUAAAAAGCUUCUAAUCUGCGCUUGAUGAAAAUAUGGACUGAGGGCUUGACAGACACCUAGAGUUACACUUUGAAGGGCAUUCUAUACAACUUCUAUACAUGCUGCUGUGACAGAACAAGAGGAACGCAGGCAGUGCUGAAUUUAAGUAUGACAAAGAAUGAUCUGAGCGUUUACACACAAAUGUAAAGGUCUAAAGGUGCUUUAGAUGGUUCUUUGAGCAAUGCCAUAAAAUAACCUUUACAUUAUGUGAUCUUGUAAAGGUUAUUCACUCUCAGUAAACUCUUUAUAAAACCCUCUAUAAAAACAUGCUAUGGAUAUAUAGAACACAAAGUGUCUUAUCUAUAGCAUCAUUAAAAAUAGCCCUUCGAAGCACCUUUAUUUUAAGGGGCUAGCUAAAUAGCUUGCCCAGGCAUCAACAUAUUGCUUCUUGCAUCUCCAUACUGCCAGCUAUACAGGAGAAGGAUAUAAUCUGCUUGAAUUUCAAUUGAAGUAAUUAUUAAAAGAUGAAUUGUCAGAGUUAUUUAUUUUAUGGUGCUUUACACCAAUAAGCAUGACAGUACUUAGAACAGAGUAAAGCUUGAAGAAGUUUACACAUCAUGCUUUAGCCCCUGUUUGGCUUACUUGGAACAAUAAGACCAGGUACCAAGUUCCAGGUAACAGGUACUAAAUUAAACAAUUCAAGUUGAGUAGUCUAAGUACAUUCUUUAGACAGGUGUCAUAAAACAUAUUGUGCAGAAUUGAGAAAGGAAAACUAUUUGAGCUUAAAAAUAUACAUACAGGCAGGGAGUAAAAAAAGAAAAGGAAAAAAAGGAAGGAAGACGAACAUCAAAUAGAGCUAUUAUCAGUUUGUGUGACUGCUCCCACCCUUUUAUUAGGCCUCUCUCCUCCAAACCUGCUAAAGAGAAAAAAAACUCUGUAUUUUAAUUGCAUUUUAUUCCUUUAUUUGGCUACACUGGACGCCUCACUUGAAGCACUCCUCCUCUUUGAAAACACUCUGUGCUGAGAAAAAAGAGAGAGAGAGAACAAUUUUGACAUAAAUUCAAAGACGUUCCUCGAACAGAAGGAGAGAGUGACAACCGUUUACGUUGGCUGCGCAGCCUUGCAGUGAACACCAGGCAAAACAGAAUAAUUGAUAUGAUUCCGUAUAAUUAAUUUAUACAGUAAAACUCUGCCGAUGGCAUCUUGGUUUUCAGCACUACUGAGUAGGGGGAUGAUGAUAAGCAUACGAGUGGUUAUCAUUAGUCCAGCUGUGGAAGGAUUUCUUUUGUUGUGAUAAUUUCGCCCAUAUUUGCUCUUCCAAUUUUUCAAGUAUUAUUUAAAUUAGCUUGGGGGACCCAAUUCUGUCCUAAACUUCUGCUGCAAAUGGUAAUGAUGCUGCGCCAAAAAACAAUGUUCAUGUAUUCUAGACACUUAAAAAAGUUCUCUAUGUAUCCUAAAGUUUAAAAACACACAUAUGGUAACAUUUAUCAUGCUCAUCAUUUACUGUUCCACUUAUGAUGUUCCAUAAAGUUUUUUAUGCUAAAACCAUAUACUGUCACUGAUUUCUACCUGAACAUUGUUUUAAAGCCCUUAUACAUAGUUUUGUUUGGAGUGUAUUUCUAUCAUACAUUAUUGUUUUAUUAAUUAAUCAGAACAUAUUUUAAGCUUUUUUUAUCCUAUAGAUUCCAACAGGCUGAUUAUAUCACUGUGUUAUUUAGUUAUGAUGUGAUUAGCAGCACUGUAGUGGCAUAGAGAAGUAAAGAAUAGUGUAAAGAAAAUAACUUAAAGAAGAAAAAUGGAAAUAAAAAGAUAGAUAGGUACAGAAGGUACAGAGAAAAGGGUGAAAAAAGAGGUGGAGAAAAAAAAGAACAGAAAAGAUGAAAUGUAGGGAGAAAAGAAUGGAAAAGAAAGGUGGAGAAAAACAAAUGGAAAUAAAAGAGGAAAGAAAGAUUGAACAGAAGAGAUAAAAGAAUAGGGACAAAGAAAAAGAAAGAUGAGGGCAGAAACGAAAAAAAGCUAACACAUAACCUUAGUAUGAAGAGGUGCAGCUUAAAUGCUGUAGGCCUUAUUUGUCAAUUUAUGCAAAUUGAACUUUGGUGACAUCACAAAACAAUGCAUUUAAAAUGGGCAUCUUCAUUUCUAUAUAUUGAGGUAGAACAGUGAAUUGUACAUGUAUACAUACGCUAAUACAAUCUUUCAUUUUAAAAAUGAAUCACAUUUGUUUUGGUUAUUGAUACUGUGCAUUUAA